rnacentral:misc_RNA from 1 species
AACGCACGAGACCUGCGGACCUGCGGAGGGAUCAUUAAUGAGAAGCUGCCCCUCGUGGGUAGACCUCCCACCCUCUGUGAACUUACCUUUGUUGCUUUGGCAGGCCCGUCCUCUGGACCGCCGGCUUCGGCUGGCCCGUGCCUGCCAGAGGAUUCCAAACCCUGUCUGUCAGUGUUGUCUGAGUCUAUAUGAAAUCGUUAAAACUUUUAUCAAUGGAUCUCUAGAUCGGAAGAGCACACG